GACGAACGCUGGCGGCGUGCUUAACACAUGCAAGUCGAACGGAAAGGCCCCUUUGGGGGUACUCGAGUGGCGAACGGGUGAGUAACACGUGAGUAACCUGCCCUUGACUUCGGGAUAACUUCAGGAAACUGGGGCUAAUACCGGAUAGGAAUCCUUGCUGCAUGGUGGGGGUUGGAAAGCUUCGGCGGUUUUGGAUGGACUCGCGGCUUAUCAGCUUGUUGGUGGGGUAGUGGCUUACCAAGGCUUUGACGGGUAGCCGGCCUGGGAGGGCGACCGGCCAAAUUGGGACUGAGGUACGGCCCAGACUCCUACGGGAGGCAGCAGGGGGGAAUAUUGCACCAUGGGCGGAAGCCUGAUGCAGCAACGGCGCGUGCGGGAAGACGGCCUUCGGGUUGUAAACCGCUUUCAGCAGGGGCGAAGCUUGUGGUGACGGUACCUGCAGAAGAAGCACCGGCUAACUACGUG
rnacentral:rRNA from 1 species